UGUUGCAGGCUCUACACUUUGAAUUCUUAGCUUUUGUGAGCAUUGGGAUUUUACACGAGUCUGGCUGCUACGAAUUGUUCAGUGUCGAAGGCUGGUCCUUGCGUCUCAUUUAAAUCUGGAUGUGUUGACUGCUGACUAGCAGAUGUUUUGUUGAUUGUUUCUAUAAUGGUUGAGUAUUUUGGAUGAUAGUAAUCGAAAGGUAGAUAGGUUCAGAAAUUCAAGUGUUCAGUCUUUAUGUCCUAUCAGCCAUGGAAUGUAACAAAGAGGAGGCUAUUAGAGCAAAGGUAAUCGCUGAACAGAAGAUGCAAAAUGGUGAUUUCGAGGCUGCAAAUAAGUUUGCAUUGAGGGCACAGAAAUUGUUCCCUGAGCUUGACAACAUAACCCAAUUGUUGGCAGUCUGUAAUGUUCACUAUUUGCAAAACACAACAUAUACGGGUCAGAAAAGGAUUGGUAUGGGAUUCUUCAAACCAAACAGUCAGCUGAUGAGAGUUUAAUCAAGAAGCAGUUUAGAAAGCUUGCACUAUUGCUUCAUCCAGACAAGAAUAAAUUUCCUGGUGCUGAGGCUGCUUUUAAGCUAAUUGGGGAAGCAAACAGGGUACUUUCAGACCAAAUGGCACGUUAUCAAUAUGAUUUGAAGUGUAGAGCCUCAGUGAAAACUAUACCAAAGCCAACAUCUCACCCAUCGAAUAAGGCAUCCACUGUAUAGUAAGUCUGGUUUUUCUAACAACUACAAGAAUUGUUCUUCAAAUUUCACAGCUUCGAACGUCUAUCAGCAAGCAAAAUUUCAUCUAACAUUUUGGACCCUCUGCAAUGCUUGUGGUUUCAAGUUCCAGUGUGACAAAGAUUUUGUGAACAGGAUGUUACGUUGUCUUUCAUGUGGAUCUAUCUUCAUUGCCCAUGACUUGGGUCCUCAGGGAUACUCUUGGAAUCAGUUCUCCAAUGAUGUCCCAUGUAACUCAUCUUCGCAUUACAAUAGUGUUAAGCCUUCUGGUGUCCACGUCCCACAUAUAUUUGCCGGGUCUGCUCCCAUUCCAAAGGCAGGAAGCUCUCAGGUUGGUUGUUCUAAGAAACAAGAGAAAGUAGGGGUUAAAAUGCACCAGUCUAAGGAGGGGUUCACAGCUCAGAAAGUAGAUGAGAGUUCAAACAUGAGAGAUAGAAAGAAAGGUGUUGAAAAGCAUAAGCCCACUGCCUCAAAGCCGAAGGAAUCAUGAACUUCAAGAAAUGCCAAUAAGAAGAGAGGGUGGAAGUCCGUAGAA